UUUUAUUAACUCCAAAGUUGAAAAACGGUAGACGUUUAGCUCUGAGGCUAGGCCGAGAAUGGUAAUCGUCAACUCUAAAGUCAGAAAAAGGUAGAUACUAAGCUCUAAGGCGGGGGUGGAAAAGGAUAAACGUCAACUCUGAGGUUGGAAACAUGUAGGCACUCAACACCGAGGCCGAAAAAUAUAAUGGUAAUCGUCAACUCUAAGGUUG
rnacentral:lncRNA from 1 species